GAGGUGUGUAAAGUCUUGGAGGCACUUUGGAGCUUAAUCUUCUUCUUAAUCUUCAUCUAGACCUUGUGCAAAGUUGUUAUUACGCGCUAAUUGGAUACCCGAACUGCUAGCAUACAUACGGACGCAAACUUGUAACUAAGUGGAUCUUGGUGCAACAAAUUAUGAAGUUUCAAGUUUACUAUGAAGACGAUGUCAUCCGUAUUUUGGAGGGUUUGAUCCAUAUAUCCCGUCUUCGAACGGGACAUAGGAUGCAAAACCUCGUUAUUUCAAAAACUUUAUUUUGAACAAGUCUUGUUUGUAGAACUUAUAAACUUAUGUUGUCUUUUGCUACAAAACAACUUUUGACUUGUAUCUUUACAUUAUGGAAUGGAUGAACAUCGUGUAUGUUUUAUAUCAUAUAGUUUGUUUACUUA